GAAAUGCGAUACGUAAUGUGAAUUGCAGGAAUCUGUGAAUCAUCAAAAUUUUGAACGCAAGUUGCAGCUCUGUUGAGGAGCUAUAUCUAUUUCAGUGUUGGUAAAGACAAAAAUCACAAAACAAUUAUUUUGUGGAAAUGAAUGUAUAAGUAUUCUUAUUCAUUUUAAUUAAAUUGAAAAGUUUUACUUCAACUGUUAGUUUAUUCUAAUAAUAAAAGUUUAACUUUUUCAAGCAAUAUAAUUAAAUAAGCAACCUGAAAUUAGUUAAGAUUACCCGCUGAACUUAA
rnacentral:misc_RNA from 1 species